rnacentral:rRNA from 1 species
GGAAUAUUGCACAAUGGGCGCAAGCCUGAUGCAGCGACGCCGCGUGAGGGAUGACGGCCUUCGGGUUGUAAACCUCUUUCGCUAGGGACGAAGCGCAAGUGACGGUACCUAGAGAAGAAGCACCGGCCAACUACGUGCCAGCAGCCGCGGUAAUACGUAGGGUGCGAGCGUUGUCCGGAAUUACUGGGCGUAAAGAGCUCGUAGGCGGUUUGUCGCGUCGUCUGUGAAAUUCUGCAACUCAAUUGCAGGCGUGCAGGCGAUACGGGCAGACUUGAGUACUACAGGGGAGACUGGAAUUCCUGGUGUAGCGGUGAAAUGCGCAGAUAUCAGGAGGAACACCGGUGGCGAAGGCGGGUCUCUGGGCAUCUACUGACGCUGAGGAGCGAAAGCAUGGGGAGCGAACAGGAUUAGAUACCCCGG